rnacentral:rRNA from 1 species
UACGUAGGGGGCAAGCGUUGUCCGGAUUUACUGGGCGUAAAGCGCGCGCAGGCGGUCGUUCAAGUCGAGUGUGAAAGCCCCCGGCUCAACUGGGGAGGGUCACUCGAUACUGAUCGACUUGAAGGCAGAAGAGGGAAGCGGAAUUCCCGGUGUAGUGGUGAAAUGCGUAGAUAUCGGGAGGAACACCAGUGGCGAAGGCGGCUUUCUGGUCUGUUCUUGACGCUGAGGCGCGAAAGCUAGGGUAGCAAACGGG